CGAAUGCUGACAUAAGUAACGAUAAAGCGGGUGAAAAGCCCGCUCGCCGGAAGACCAAGGGUUCCUGUCCAACGUUAAUCGGGGCAGGGUGAGUCGACCCCUAAGGCGAGGCCGAAAGGCGUAGUCGAUGGGAAACAGGUUAAUAUUCCUGUACUUGGUGUUACUGCGAAGGGGGGACGGAGAAGGCUAUGUUGGCCGGGCGACGGUUGUCCCGGUUUAAGCGUGUAGGCUGGUUUUCCAGGCAAAUCCGGAAAAUCAAGGCUGAGGCGUGAUGACGAGGCACUACGGUGCUGAAGCAACAAAUGCCCUGCUUCCAGGAAAAGCCUCUAAGCAUCAGGUAACAUCAAAUCGUACCCCAAACCGACACAGGUGGUCAGGUAGAGAAUACCAAGGCGCUUGAGAGAACUCGGGUGAAGGAACUAGGCAAAAUGGUGCCGUAACUUCGGGAGAAGGCACGCUGAUAUGUAGGUGAAGUCCCUCGCGGAUGGAGCUGAAAUCAGUCGAAGAUACCAGCUGGCUGCAACUGUUUAUUAAAAACACAGCACUGUGCAAACACGAAAGUGGACGUAUACGGUGUGACGCCUGCCCGGUGCCGGAAGGUUAAUUGAUGGGGUCAGCGCAAGCGAAGCUCUUGAUCGAAGCCCCGGUAAACGGCGGCCGUAACUAUAACGGUCCUAAGGUAGCGAAAUUCCUUGUCGGGUAAGUUCCGACCUGCACGAAUGGCGUAAUGAUGGCCAGGCUGUCUCCACCCGAGACUCAGUGAAAUUGAACUCGCUGUGAAGAUGCAGUGUACCCGCGGCAAGACGGAAAGACCCCGUGAACCUUUACUAUAGCUUGACACUGAACAUUGAGCCUUGAUGUGUAGGAUAGGUGGGAGGCUUUGAAGUGUGGACGCCAGUCUGCAUGGAGCCGACCUUGAAAUACCACCCUUUAAUGUUUGAUGUUCUAACGUUGACCCGUGAUCCGGGUUGCGGACAGUGUCUGGUGGGUAGUUUGACUGGGGCGGUCUCCUCCUAAAGAGUAACGGAGGAGCACGAAGGUUGGCUAAUCCUGGUCGGACAUCAGGAGGUUAGUGCAAUGGCAUAAGCCAGCUUGACUGCGAGCGUGACGGCGCGAGCAGGUGCGAAAGCAGGUCAUAGUGAUCCGGUGGUUCUGAAUGGAAGGGCCAUCGCUCAACGGAUAAAAGGUACUCCGGGGAUAACAGGCUGAUACCGCCCAAGAGUUCAUAUCGACGGCGGUGUUUGGCACCUCGAUGUCGGCUCAUCACAUCCUGGGGCUGAAGUAGGUCCCAAGGGUAUGGCUGUUCGCCAUUUAAAGUGGUACGCGAGCUGGGUUUAGAACGUCGUGAGACAGUUCGGUCCCUAUCUGCCGUGGGCGCUGGAGAACUGAGGGGGGCUGCUCCUAGUACGAGAGGACCGGAGUGGACGCAUCACUGGUGUUCG
rnacentral:rRNA from 1 species